CAGUGUAGGGGCCUUGGCAUGGUCUGCUGUGGUUGAUAGGAUAUUCUAUGGGAAGUGGGUUCUGGUUCAGUAUAACUUCCUGGAGUUCAACGUUCUGAGUGACCAGGGCUCGUUCUACGGCAGCCACCCCUGGCACUGGUACCUCACCCAGGGCUUUCCUGUCGUCAUGGCAACACAACUUAUCCCCUUCGUCUUUGGCGCCAUGAAGUUCUGGAGGAAGCAAAAGCUGGUUUUGCUCAUAGUUCUUUGGACAGUGAUGGUUUACAGCUGUCUUGGCCACAAGGAGUUUCGUUUCAUCAUGCCUGUUCUGCCUUUAGCCAUGAUUUCAUGCGGU